GGCGCAACUGCAUGGCCUCCACGACCUUCUGCACCACCUGCUCCCGCUGCUCACUCACCUUGUGCAGUGCCCGGCUCCGCUUGGAGUCAUUGUCCUGCCACCCACAACACAGGGAACCAGGUUUGUAGCAAUUGGACGUCUGACAUCAUGAAUGCCAGUGAAAACAAGAAAUGACAGGGAAAAGUGAAUCCUUAACGAAUGUGCAAGGCAACAGCAAGCUCAACUGGGCCCAAAGCAACAAACUGAAAUCAAAAAAGGCAAGA